ensembl:miRNA
UAAACCAAGUUGCAGUUUAUGUAAACAUCCUACACUCAGCUGUAAUAUAUGGAUUGGCUGGGAGGUGGAUGUUUACUUCAGCUGACUUGGAAUAU